CAUACGCCUCCCACAACAAAAUACCAAAUGGCCAACUCCCAACGGAGUACAAAAUGGAGACGCCGUGGACUGAUCACACCGCCACGGAAGGUGUCAUGCCUCGGUGCCAAGAGGACAUGCCUGUGGUACCCCCACAGGUGGUUAUAGCUCAGGUAUACCCUACGGUAUUCUAACAAGGAUACCAUGUCACAACACAUGCAACAUAAUAU
rnacentral:lncRNA from 1 species